UUUCCCCGAAACCACUGUUUUCUAAGAGGUGACCCAGACACAGGAAGAGGGAGGGAGAGGGCAGGGCCAUAAAGCACUUGCUAACAGCCCACGGUCCAGGGCCGAGACCAGAAGAGCCUCUCCCUUCCCAAGCGUGCCCGGCACCCCGAGAAGAUGGUGGUGGAGAACGUGAUCAUCUUCUCUGCGGCUGUCCCGGAACUAACUGUGACCUGUGCGAUCGGGGGCCCGAUCGCCUGGGCCGUGGUGGCCAUAGCUGGUGUGGCCGUCAUUAUGGGGAUCACCUACUGCCUAGUAAAGGAGAUGAAAGUGAAGAAGGUAUGAAAGCCACCCCCACCCCCGGGAGGGGCAGCUCCCACCUGCACGGAGGCUGUGGGCCACGCACCUCACACCUCUGCAACUGAGUAUGGCCAUGCCAUCUCCUGAACACAAUAAAAACCACUGAGCACA